UACGUAGGGGGCGAGCGUUGUCCGGAAUUACUGGGCGUAAAGGGCGCGUAGGCGGCCUGUUAAGCCCGCUGUGAAAGACCGAGGCUCAACCUCGGGGUGUCAGCGGGGACUGGGAGGCUGGAGUUUUGGAGAGGAGCGGGGAAUCCCUGGUGUAGCGGUGGAAUGCGUAGAGAUCAGGGGGAACACCGAUGGCGAAGGCACCGCUCUGGCCGAAGACUGACGCUGAGGCGCGAAAGCUGGGGGAGCGAACGGG
rnacentral:rRNA from 2 species